rnacentral:lncRNA from 1 species
AUUAUAUUGGAGUUUUGUUCCAAAAGUAAUACUACUUCAGAUUUGAAUUUUUUAAAUAUUUUAGUUACAUUGCUUGACUUGUCCUCAUAGUUUGUGUUUGCUUAAUAUAUGAUAGCUUUAUUGAGCUAUAAUUCACAUACCACAUAAUUUACCCAUUUAACAUAACUCUGGUUCACAAUAUGUUCACAGAGUUGUGUCACUGUCCUCAUAAUUUUAGAUUUUGUCAACUCAAAAAGAAACCCCAUAUGAAUUCAUAGUCAUGCUCCAUUACAGGGCAUCUCAGUUCACAAACUUAAUUCAUUUCACGAUUCUAGGAAAGAAGGCCACAUUAGGCCAAUGGAGUAGAAUUGAGUCCCAAUAAUGGAAUUCAAGAAUGGAAGCAAAAUUCUACCCAAUGCUUCUGUCCUGGAACUGAAUUGUUUACAAACAGAAAUGUCCAUGAACCAAGGUGUCUAAGUAGAAAUGGAAUGACUGGAUCAUUAGAAGUUGGAACUAUUAGUGAUGCUUUUAUGUUGAAAACAGUGAAAGCUAAGGAAAGAAAUAGACCAAAUCAGUAUGAGUACUAUGACUAAGCCGUAUGAUCCAAAGAUAAUGUAUCUAUUAAGGUAAGGUUAUUUUUUUCUAUAAUCACAGCAAAUUCUUCUUAGUCAUUAAAGUCAAUUCAUAUGGUAAACUAGGUAGAAAGAUUAAAGCAAAUACUAAAUCUAAACUCCAAUAUAUAGGUAACAAUACGAAUUCAAAUGGAUAUUUUAAGAAUUCAAAGGGAUACUCAAGAAUCACUCAAGUAGUAUUUAUUGUGAACCAAAUAUUUUGCUUACAUUGAUGCAUUUAAUCUUCAUAAUAACCUCACAGCCCAGAUAAUAGGAUUGCUUCCAUUUAUACCUGAGAAAAUAAAUGUUAGGUUAAAUAGUUUCUCAACCCCACAGAGAUAGUGAAC